AAACAUCCCUGCAAAGAGCAACGAACAG
rnacentral:piRNA from 1 species